rnacentral:lncRNA from 10 species
GAACGCCCAGGAAGUCCAUACUCUCAAACCCCUUUCUGCCCACUCACCUUCAGGUCCACAGCACUUUCCAGCGUCAUCUGAAAUAGCAAAGGUGAUGUGCAGCAUCCCAGUGAUGUGUUCCUGUGUUAUGAGAAGGAGUCUGGGGUUCUGGAUGCCUCAGGAACAGAAUAUGGACCUUAAAGACCAGGCUGAGAGCCUGGCCUGGCACGCAGCCUGCCCGCCCCCCCCGCCCUUCCUGUCCACCGCGGGCUCUCUGCAGCAGGGCUUGCCGAAGAGACUGCUCCCGACCUCUCAUGUCAUCCUGCAUCCAGAGAAUGGCAGCAUAUCAAGCCGUUAACCCUGAUUCACUCGGUUCCCUUGAAACCAGGCCUCAGUUAACCAUGACCACAGCUACAGGCAAACCGCUGCUGUUGCUGCCUGCUUUUGCUGAAGAAUGAUAUCUUGCCAGGCACGGCGGCUCAUGCCUGUAGUCGCAACACUUUGGGAGACCAAGGCAGGAGGAUCACUUGAGUCCAGGAGUUUGAGACCAGCCUGGGCAACAUACAGAUGUCUACAAAAAUAAAAAUUUGCAAGGUG